rnacentral:rRNA from 2 species
AGCGGCGGACGGGUGAGUAAUGCAUAGGAAUCUGCCCGGUAGUGGGGGAUAACCUGGGGAAACCCAGGCUAAUACCGCAUACGUCCUACGGGAGAAAGGGGGCUUCGGCUCCCGCUAUUGGAUGAGCCUAUGUCGGAUUAGCUAGUUGGUGAGGUAAAGGCUCACCAAGGCAACGAUCCGUAGCUGGUCUGAGAGGAUGAUCAGCCACAUCGGGACUGAGACACGGCCCGAACUCCUACGGGAGGCAGCAGUGGGGAAUAUUGGACAAUGGGCGCAAGCCUGAUCCAGCCAUGCCGCGUGUGUGAAGAAGGCCCUCGGGUUGUAAAGCACUUUCAGCGAGGAAGAACGCCUAGUGGUUAAUACCCAUUAGGAAAGACAUCACUCGCAGAAGAAGCACCGGCUAACUCCGUGCCAGCAGCCGCGGUAAUACGGAGGGUGCAAGCGUUAAUCGGAAUUACUGGGCGUAAAGCGCGCGUAGGUGGCUUGAUAAGCCGGUUGUGAAAGCCCCGGGCUCAACCUGGGAACGGCAUCCGGAACUGUCAAGCUAGAGUGCAGGAGAGGAAGGUAGAAUUCCCGGUGUAGCGGUGAAAUGCGUAGAGAUCGGGAGGAAUACCAGUGGCGAAGGCGGCCUUCUGGACUGACACUGACACUGAGGUGCGAAAGCGUGGGUAGCAAACAGGAUUAGAUACCCUGGUAGUCCACGCCGUAAACGAUGUCGACCAGCCGUUGGGUGCCUAGCGCACUUUGUGGCGAAGUUAACGCGAUAAGUCGACCGCCUGGGGAGUACGGCCGCAAGGUUAAAACUCAAAUGAAUUGACGGGGGCCCGCACAAGCGGUGGAGCAUGUGGUUUAAUUCGAUGCAACGCGAAGAACCUUACCUACUCUUGACAU